ensembl:lncRNA
UAAAACCUCAAUUUAGUUUGCCUAGUAUGAAGUAUCCCAUAAAAACAAAACAAAACAAAACAAAACGUCUUCUCUUUUCCCCCUAAUUUGCUGUCUUUUCCUCUCUGAACCAAAUUGAACCAGUGGACAAAUAGGUCCCAAUGCUUCUUGCAUAUGACCACAAGCUUGGGCAUGUCAGCUGCCUCUGCUCUCCUCUCUAGAUGACAGAUACAUCAGGUCUGGGUUCAGCUGCAGGGCCUCAGGAGAGCAAGAGGAAGCUGCUCUCAUCCUGGCCCAGUGUUGAGAAGUGUAUUGCAGGGAGAGUUUCCAGCUCCACUGGGAGCCGGCUGGUGGAUUUGCCCUGCGCUCUGGCCAUGUGAGAAGCUGUUGUCUCAGACCUCUUUGAACCAUCUUUAACUGAAGCCCACUACAAGUCUGAAACAUUUUCCAUUGUCCAGUAACAUUUCCUUUGGUCUCUCCUCUGUGUCUGUUUCUUGUCUAGUCAGAGGACGAUGGUGUAAGAGGAACUCAGAAGGCCGAGGAUGAGAUUAAAAAAGCGAAUUUGGGCGACAACGCUCAGACUAGAUAUAAGCUCUAGUGGUGUUGGUUGUGUUCUGGAAGACCUGAGGGACACAACGGCUACCAUGCACAUCUGCAUCCUGUAUGUGGCUGAGGGGGGUUCCCAGCUGAACUUGGCUGAGGUCAGUGUCUGGUCAAAUGGAGUCGGGCCUGUGUGUCUGUGGGGGUGCAGAUGA